AGUGGAUGGGGAGCAACCUAGUUGUGCGUGUGUAAAGGUAGUGCCAAGAAAAGCGAUGAUCAUGUUGAAAAUCAAUUCCCGGUACCCGAAACCGACACAGGUGGGCAAGUAGAGAAUACUAAGGGGCGCGAGGUAACUCUCUCCAAGGAACUCGGCAAAAUGACCCCGUAACUUAGGGAGAAGGGGUGCCACCGAGAGGUGGUCGCAGUGAAGAGGCCCAGGCGACUGUUUAGCAAAAACAUAGGUCUCUGCAAACUCGAAAGAGGAGGUAUAGGGGCUGACGCCUGCCCAGUGCCGGAAGGUUAAAGAUGUUGGUCAGUUUUAGGAUGAAGCUAGCGACUGAAGCCCCGGUGAACGGCGGCCGUAACUAUAACGGUCCUAAGGUAGCGAAAUUCCUUGUCGGGUAAGUUCCGACCCGCACGAAAGGCGUAACGAUCUGGGCGCUGUCUCGGAGAGAGGCUCGGCGAAAUAGGAUUGUCUGUGAAGAUACGGACUACCUGCAUUUGGACAGAAAGACCCUAUGAAGCUUUACUAUAGCUUGGAAUUGUGUUCGGGCUUCCUGUGCGCAGGAUAGGUGGGAGGCGUAGAAGGUAUUCUUGUGGGGAUACUGGAGCCAACGGUGAGAUACCACUCUCAGGAGGCUAGAAUUCUAACUUAAUUAAGGACAGUUUCAGGUGGGUAGUUUGACUGGGGCGGUCGCCUCCAAAAAGGUAACGGAGGCGUACAAAGGUUCCCUCAGACUGGUUGGAAAUCAGUCGAAGAGUGCAAAGGCAGAAGGGAGCUUGACUGCGAGAAGUACAGUUCGAGCAGGGUGGAAACACGGUCUUAGUGAUCCGACGGUGCUGUGUGGAAGGGCCGUCGCUCAACGGAUAAAAGUUACUCUAGGAUAACAGGCUGAUCUCCCCCAAGAGUUCACAUCGACGGGGAGGUUUGGCACCUCGAUGUCGGCUCAUCGCAACCUGGGGCGGAAGUACGUCCCAAGGGUUGGGCUGUUCGCCCAUUAAAGCGGUACGUGAGCUGGGUUCAGAACGUCGUGAGACAGUUCGGUCCAUAUCCGAUGUAGGCGUGAGAAUAUUGAGAGGAGCCUUCCUUAGUACGAGAGGACCGGGAAGGACGCACCGCUGGUGUACCUGUUAUGAUGCCAAUUGUAAACGCAGGGUAGCCAAGUGCGGAGAGGAUAACCGCUGAAAGCAUCUAAGUGGGAAGCCCACCUCAAGAUGAGUAUUCUGGUGUAAGGUCACGGGAAGACGACCCGUAAAUAGGCACGAGGUGGAAGUGCAGAGAUGUAUGAAGCCGAAGUGUACUAAUAGACCGUCGGCUU
rnacentral:rRNA from 1 species